rnacentral:rRNA from 1 species
CCUACGGGUGGCAGCAGUGGGGAAUAUUGCACAAUGGGGGAAACCCUGAUGCAGCGACGCCGCGUGAGUGAAGAAGUAUUUCGGUAUGUAAAGCUCUAUCAGCAGGGAAGAAAAUGACGGUACAUGAAUAAGAAGCCACGGCGAACUACGGGCCAGCAGCCGCGGGAAUACGUAGGGGGCAAGCGUUCUCCGGAUUUACUGGGUGUACCGGGAGCGUAGACGGCAGCACAAGUCUGGAGUGAAAUGCCGGGGCUUACCCCCGGAACUGCUUUGGAAACUGUGCAGCUAGAGUGCAGGAGAGGUCAGUGGCAUUCCUCGUGUAGCGGUGACUUGCGU